UACGGAGGGUGCAAGCAUUGAUCGGAAUUACUGGGCGUAAAGGGCGCGUAAGCGGUUGAAUAAGUCAGAUGUGAAAUUCCGGGGCUCAACCCCGGAGCUGCAUUUGAAACUAUUCGACUAGAGUACAGUUAGGGUAAACGGAAUUCCACGUGUAGCGGUGAAAUGCGUAGAUAUGUGGAAGAACACCGGUGGUGAAGACGGUUUACUGGGCUGUAACUGACGCUGAGGCGCGAAAGCUAGGGGAGCAAACAGG
rnacentral:rRNA from 1 species